rnacentral:rRNA from 1 species
GACGUAGGGGGCCAGCGUUGUUCGGAAUUACUGGGUGUAAAGGGUUCGUAGGCGGUGCGGCAAGUUGGGAGUGAAAUCUCUGGGCUUAACCCAGAGGCUGCUYCCAAAACUGCUGUGCUUGAGUGUGAGAGAGGCUCGUGGAAUUGCAGGUGUAGCGGUGAAAUGCGUAGAUAUCUGCAGGAACACCCGUGGCGAAAGCGGCGAGCUGGAUCACAACUGACGCUGAGGAACGAAAGCUAGGGGAGCAAACAGGAUUAGAUACCCUGGUAGUCCUAGCCCUAAASGAUCAGGACUUGGGGUGCCACCCGUUCGGGUGUCGUCCCGGAGCUAACGCGUUAAGUCCUGCACCUGGGGAGUACGGUCGCAAGACUGAAACUCAAAG